AGAAACAGAAAACCUUUUGGAAAUACUGACUAAAAUCUACAACGAUUCCACAUACAAGGCUGUGAAAGAUCAGACUCUAUCUAUUAUGGCUGGACUUACAACAAAAGAGGACCUCAAGAACAGAAUCCCAGGACUUACAAACUAUCAUAUUGACAAAGUUCGAGCUGUUACACCAGACCAAAUAUUUCAGAAGGUAAACCAACCUCCAAAGAAAAGACAACAAAUGGACCAAACUAAACUAGAGCACUGUCUCUCAUUUUUCUUCAGCUCCUCUUUUCACCAACUGCUGUCUUAUGGUACAAGAGAUUUGGAGCUUGACUCUGGUGAAAUAGUUGUAAUUCCAGAUGUGGUUCGCACUGCUUGCCAUUCUUCUAUAAUUGAAAUGUAUGAAAAACAUUGCAAAGACACUGACUUCUCACCACUGUCAAGGGCUACACUAUUUCGCAUCCUACAUGCAUGCUCGGCUUCCAAACGGCGCAACCUCCAUGGCUUAGACAACAUUACAGCAGAUGGCUUUGCUGCUUUUAAGUCUUUGUGUAACAUCUUGAAGAAUCUAGAGCUCAAAGGAACCAUAGACAAAGAUAUGAAAUCUACCUUGACACAACUUCUCACAGAUGGUCAAAAUUAUCUGAAGAGAACCUUCAAGUUCCAUGUCUCUCUAGACUCAGCUUGUUCUGACCAUUGUAUACAGUGGGCUUGCAGUGAUCCUAAAGAUGUCAAAUUUCAGUCCGUAUGCAACCAUGAGCACACAGACAGCUGUCAAGAGUGUGAAAGAUUAUCAGUGGUCCUUGAUCAGAUGUGUUCUUUGAAUCUAGAUGAUGAUGAGGCAGUAGAUGUUAUAGAGGCAAGAAACAACAUCCAAGCAUGGAAAGCCCACAUCGUAAGAACAAUCAACCAAGACCGCAGCAGAGUAGAUCUUCUAGACACUUUGAAAACAUCUCAAAUACUGCUGGUGAUGGACUGGGCCAUGAAGUUUCUCCCUCUUUUACAUCGAGAGAAGCAGUCAGACUGGUUUGGUCAAAAAGGGAUCUCAUGGCAUGUCACUGUUGGCAUCACUAAAGAUAAUAAUGGAUCUCUAAAGCAUAGUACUUGGGUGCACUCUCUGGAAAGUGGCAAACAGGACUGGUUUGCUGUAGCAUCAAUCCUGGAACAUACUCUUUCAACUGUGGCUCAGCAGUAUCCCAAUAUGAAAGAGGCGUUCCUAAGAUCUGACAAUGCUGGAUGUUAUCACAAUGGAUUUCUGUGGAGUUCAAUUCCUAGCAUAUCUGAGAGAACAGGAAUCGUUGUUAAAAGAUUCAACUUUAGUGAGGCACAAGCAGGAAAAUCAUAUUGUGAUGCCAAAAUUGCUCAUCUUAGGAAGAAAAUGAGAUUGUAUGUAGCAGAUGGCAAUGACAUCAAGUUUCCAGCUGACAUGAAGAUGGCCAUAGAUACAAGUGGAGGAGUUGCUGGAUGCCAGGUAGCAGUUGUUGAUGUUGAUUACACCCAUCAACUGUUAUUUGGCCACAAAUGGAGGGAUGUACGUUUCAUCACUGAUUUUGAAAUUGAUUCUUCCUUGAUGACCACUCACCGUGCGUUUGACAUUGGUCAGGGAAAUGUUAUUGACGCAACAUUGAUGGUCUCCUUACCACAGAGUUCAACGGAUCUACGAAUACUCUCCAACUUCAUGACACCAGAAAAGCAGGAAGGACAAAUACAAACUCCAAGUACUGUAAAAGAACCUGUUCAGUGCUUCCCUUGUUCCGAAGAAGGCUGUUUACAAAGUUUUUGCACCUUUGAAGAAUAUGAGGAACAUAUGUAUUUUGAGAGGCACACGUUUGAAUUUCAUCAAAAUUCAAACAUGUCUACAUUUGACAAAGUUAAGCUGAAAUGGGCAGAAAAAUGUAACCUGCAUGAAAGUGAAGAGCAGAUCAUCAUGCCAACAGCCCUGUCUGACAGUAGUGGAAAAGGUUCUAGCAUAAGAGGAUGGGCUCUUAAGAAAGAAAAGAAACAAGUUCGGUUCAAACAGCACGUGCGCGAUUAUCUAAACGAGGUAUUCAAGACUGGAGCGGAGGUUGGCAGGAAGGCUAAUCCAGCAGAGGUUGCUUUGAACAUGAGAGCACUGACAAACGAUAGGGGAGAGCGCAUUUUUGCAGCUCAGGACUGUUUAAAGCCAAGUCAAAUAAUUUCCUAUUUCUCCAGGCUCACAUCACAAUCCAAGGAUUCCUCGAAACAAGGGAGCAGAGAAAUAGCAGAAGAAGAGGAUGAUGAAUACCUGGAACACGUUAUCAGGGAAAUUGAAAUUCAGGAAAUCAAAGACACUGUGAAUGCGCUGUGA
rnacentral:sRNA from 1 species